GACGAACGCUGGCGGCGUGCUUAACACAUGCAAGUCGAACGGAAAGGCCCUGCUUGCAGGGUACUCGAGUGGCGAACGGGUGAGUAACACGUGGGUGAUCUGCCCUGCACUUCGGGAUAAGCCUGGGAAACUGGGUCUAAUACCGGAUAGGAGCCAUUUUUAGCGUGAUGGUUGGAAAGUUUUUUCGGUGUAGGAUGAGCUCGCGGCCUAUCAGCUUGUUGGUGGGGUAAUGGCCUACCAAGGCGGCGACGGGUAGCCGGCCUGAGAGGGUGGACGGCCACAUUGGGACUUAGAUACGGCCCAGACUCCUACGGGAGGCAGCAGUGGGGAAUAUUGCACCAUGGGCGCAAGCCUGAUGCAGCGACGCCGCGUGGGGGAUGACGGCCUUCGGGUUGUAAACUCCUUUCGCUAGGGACGAAGCUUUUUGUGACGGUACCUAGAGAAGAAGCACCGGCUAACUACGUG
rnacentral:rRNA from 1 species